rnacentral:rRNA from 1 species
ACGCGAUAAAUCGACCCCCUUGGGAGUACGGCCGCAAGGUUAAAACUCAAAUGAAUUGACGGGGGCCCGCACAAGCGGUGGAGCAUGUGGUUUAAUUCGAUGCAACGCGAAGAACCUUACCUGGUCUUGACAUCCAUAGAAUUCUGCAGAGAUGUGGGAGUGCCUUCGGGAACUAUGAGACAGGUGCUGCAUGGCUGUCGUCAGCUCGUGUUGUGAAAUGUUGGGUUAAGUCCCGCAACGAGCGCAACCCUUAUUCUUUGUUGCCAGCGAUUUGGUCGGGAACUCAAAGGAGACUGCCGUUGAUAAAGCGGAGGAAGGUGGGGACGACGUCAAGUCAUCAUGGCCCUUACGACCAGGGCUACACAUGUGCUACAAUGGCGUAUACAAAGGGAAGCGAAGGUGCGAGCUGGAGCGGAUCUCAUAAAGUACGUCUAAGUUCGGAUUGGAGUCUGCAACUCGACUCCAUGAAGUCGGAAUCGCUAGUAAUCGUAGAUCAGAAUGCUACGGUGAAUACGUUCCCGGGCCUUGUACACACCGCCCGUCACACCAUGGGAGUGGGUUGCACCAGAAGUAGAUAGCUUAACCGCGAGGGGGGCGUUUACCACGGUGUGAUUCAUGACUGGGGUGAAGUCGUAACAAGGUAACCA